rnacentral:rRNA from 1 species
AAUGAACGCUGGCGGCGUGCUUAACACAUGCAAGUCGAACGAGAACGAGGGGCUUCGGUCCCUUUAGUAAAGUGGCGCACGGGUGAGUAACGCGUGGGUAAUCUACCCUUGAGUCUGGAAUAACGUUCCGAAAGGGGCGCUAAUACGGGAUAAGACCACAGGCACUUCGGUGCAAGGGGUAAAAGGUGCUUUCGGGCAUCGCUUAGGGAUGAGCCUGCGUGACAUUAGAUUGAUGGUGGGGUAAAGGCCUACCAUAUUGUCUACGAUGUCUAGCUGGUCUGAGAGGAUGAUCAGCCACACUGGGACUGGAACACGGCCCAGACUCCUACGGGAGGCAGCAGUGAGGAAUUUUGCGCAAUGGGGGAAACCCUGACGCAGCAACGCCGCGUGAGUGAUGAAGGCCUUUUGGUUGUAAAGCUCUGUCGCCUGGAAAGAAACCACAGAUCAGGAAAUGGAUUUGUGCUGACGGUACCAGGAAAGGAAGGACCGGCUAACUCCGUGCCAGCAGCCGCC